GUCGUAACAAGGUUUCCGUAGGUGAACCUGCGGAAGGAUCAUUACCACACCGAUCCAACGAUCAACACCCCUGUGAAGUUGUGUGUCGUUUUCUCUUCUUCUAAAGCCUUUUGUGGAUGGCAGUGUGUGGGUUAUCUGUGUGCCCUGCUCCGUGCGGGUGUGCGCAGUGCCUGCAUGCUGUUGUCUCGGGGGGUUUUACUACCAAAACACAAACCACUUUUUGAACCAUGAUAAUCUCUGAAACCGAAAGUUUGUACUGCGUGUUUUACACACCAUACAAAUGUAUCAAUGUAAAAACAUGAAACAACUUUCAGCGAUGGAUAUCUUGGCUCUC
rnacentral:misc_RNA from 1 species